GUGCACGCUGGCGGCAGGCCUCACCCCUACAAGUCGCACGGCAGCACCAGAGAGCUUGCUCUCUGGGUGGCGAGUGGCGGACGGGUGAGGAAUGCAUCGGAAUCUGCCCAUUUGUGGGGGAUAACCUCGGGAAACCGGGACUAAUACCGCAUACGACCUACGGGUGAAAGCAGGGGAUCUUCGGACCUUGCGCAGAUGGAUGAGCCGAUGCCGGAUUAGCUAGUUGGAGGGGUAAAGGCCCACCAAGGCGACGAUCCGUAGCUGGUCUGAGAGGAUGAUCAGCCACACUGGGACUGAGACACGGCCCAGACUCCUACGGGAGGCAGCAGUGGGGAAUAUUGGACAAUGGGCGCAAGCCUGAUCCAGCCAUGCCGCGUGUGUGAAGAAGGCCUUCGGGUUGUAAAGCACUUUUGUUGGGAAAGAAAAGCAGCCGGUUAAUACCCGGUUGUCAUGACGGUACCCAAAGAAUAAGCACCGGCUAACUUCGUG
rnacentral:rRNA from 1 species